AGUGGCAGGACCUGGAAGAUGCUCAGAAGAUUCUAUACAAGGAUGUGAUGCUGGAGACCUACAGCAACCUGAUGUUUUUGGUGAUCUUCAAGUUGGAGCAAGGAGGAGAUCCAUGGACAUUAGAAGAACUUCCCAGCUUGAGCCUCCCAGGAGAGAAGCCCUAUGAAUGUGAACAAUGUA